AUAUUAUUCUCUGCAAACCGUUUUUGGCGAUUCUGUUCGGUGGGUCGGUGGGUGUUAAUCACGACCGGAAUAUUGAUUUCAGGGUGAGAACGUAUAGUCUCUGCAAGUGGUUCCAGGACCAACACACACGGAACACCGAUUUCUCAAAUU